AAAGUAAUCAUUUUAACUUAUUUUUCAUUAAAAUUUGGUAUCAAGAUAAGAAAGAAUCAUUGAAACUGACAUGUCAAUAAAAUGAAGGAUAUUGUAGUCCUCGCUGGUGGUGGUGAAGGGAGUGUCCUCGCUGGUAGUGCUCUUUGGAUCACCUUCUGGAGUUUGGGUUAUUAGGAAAUUAGUCUUGACAUUUCUCCUCGCUGGUAGUGUUCUUUGGAUCACCUUCUGUAGCAUCUUUCACAUUUAUUCAAAACAUCAAAGUUGCAUAGCCAUGCACUUUGCCUUGCAUCAAAUAAAACUAAAUUAGCUUAUUUAGAAAUGUAGUAAAUUUUGUUAACUUCUUGAAUAUACCUACCAACCAAAUGUUAAUUAUGUUGUUUUCUCCUAAAAGAUCUUCAAAAUUUACUUUACUUUGCCAGAUACUCAGUUGACUAUGGUAUGUUCAAAUUUUGCAUAGCUAACACAGAAUUCGAUUGGAGAAAAGGAUCAGAACAAUAUAAAUUAAUUGAAAAUUGCCUAGCAACGGUUGACUGACAAAUCUUACAAGCCAUGGCUGAUAUUUCUUGCACAUAAGGUACUUGGUUAUUCUUCUACAAGGUUCUAUGCUACAGAAGGCUCGUUUGAAGAACCAAUGGGAAGGGAGGACCUUCAAUAUCUCUAACAGAAGUAUAAGGUUGACAUACCAAUGUAUGGACAUGUCCAUAACUAUGAAAGGACUUACCCUGUGUAUCAGGUUGAAUAUAGGGUUGUCAUAGUUUGAUGCAAUUCUUAUUGUUCCAAUGUUUAAUAUAGCAUGGACUUUCUUCUCAAUCUGUACAAGAUUUAUAUAUUUUCAAGAAUACCAGGUACUCCCUAUUUCACUUAAUACACACAGGUAGCCUUUGCCUUUUAUGGGCACUCUAAGAAGAUUUAA